UUGCAGCUCACCCUGAUUAGGCUUUGAGGGACUGUCUCUGCAAAAGCAGAGGAAGGAAGGACCGUGCAGCUGUGUAGAGUUGGAAUUGAUCCCUAAGGCUGGACAUGGGGCGGGAAAGCCCCAAGGCACUAAGACAAAGGGGGAAGGCAUGAAUGCCACGGACAUAUGUGGAGAUCAGAGGACAGCGUUCACGAGUCCUUCAAAAACAGGGCACUAGAAGAGUGUUCAACAUAGGACUGACCGGGGCUGUCACACUACAGAGCUAUACCCCAGCCCACCUUUAGACUUUUAAUCCAGGUUCUGAGGGGAAUUUCCCAACAAGGAAGCCAGCGACAGACAGGGCUGGCUGACUGACGUGCAAGCUGAAGGAGCAGAAGAGCAGGUUCUGUUCUGAGCCGCGGAACCAGCAUCAAGUUCCGGUGCUGCUGGCAAAGCUGUGACCUUGAAGCCAUUUCUCCAGGAGGUCAUCUGCAAGGAGGUCUGGAACCUAAGUCUCGCCAGGACUCACUCAAAGCCGUGCCUCACGUUCACCUUGCUACUACUCCACAUGGUGUGGACUAAGAGUACAUCCUGGAGGACUGAAGUUUGUGAUUAGCUACACCAUCCCCAAAGAAACAGAGACUCCUCCAUUUUUCUCUCCAAUGCUCCCUACAACACACACAACACCUUUAAAAUACUGGGACAGGGCACCACAAAGAGACCUACAGGGCUACAAGGUGUAGAACCUCUGUAGGAGCACAGUUAGGUCAUGGGGAAGAAAAAAAAUUGCUCCAGACCAACAGGCAAAGCCAAAGAAGCACCCCAGAAAAA
rnacentral:lncRNA from 1 species